rnacentral:rRNA from 1 species
UACGGGGGGGGGCAAGCGUUGUUCGGAAUUACUGGGCGUAAAGGGCGCGUAGGCGGCCAGACAAAGUCGAGCGUUAAAUUCCAGGGCUUAACCCUGGGCUGUUGCUCGAUACUAGUCGGCUAGAGUGUGGAAGAGGGUGCUGGAAUUCCCGGUGUAGCGGUGAAAUGCGUAGAGAUCGGGAGGAACACCCGUGGCGAAGGCGGCCAGCUGGGCCGUCCCUGACGCUGAGGCGCGAAGGCGUGGGGAGCGAACGGG